GGGGUCGUUUUUGGUUUUGACAGCAAGGAUAAUGAAUUUGUAAGCAUGUCGAGCAAGGUGGAUAAACUCGUAAAACUGUUCUGCAAACAAUAAACGGCGAUAAUAAUAAUUAUGCUCUCGCUGCGUAGUUGAAGAAUAGUAAACUAACCGCUUAAUUUCGCAAAAAUUUGUGAAACGAGAUGUCUCGCAUAAGGGACUGCCUGAUUCCUUUAUGACUGUGAGGCACCGACAAUUUCAGGAUAGUUGAAGCAUUUCUUCGUUGUUUUAAUGAACUUUUAGAAGAUAAGGAAAGAUUUUGGGUGCUUUUUCCCGGGUUUUUCCCGACAAUCAAUAAAAAGAUAAGCAUGUAGAAAGCCUGUUUGUUACUUGUUUGGACGCGGGUUCGACUCCCGCCGGCUCCACAA
rnacentral:tmRNA from 1 species